rnacentral:piRNA from 1 species
UUACGGCUAAAAAGUUCUUCUGUCUGA